rnacentral:rRNA from 1 species
GACGGUACCUGAAGAAAAAGCAUCGGCUAACUCCGUGCCAGCAGCCGCGGUAAUACGGAGGAUGCAAGCGUUAUCCGGAAUCAUUGGGCGUAAAGGGUCCGCAGGUGGCGAAUAAAGUCUGCUGUUAAAGACCGGGGCUAAACUCCGGAAGGGCAGUGGAAACUGAUUAGCUAGAGUACGGUAGGGGUAGAGGGAAUUCCCAGUGUAGCGGUGAAAUGCGUAGAUAUUGGGAAGAACACCGGUGGCGAAAGCGCUCUACUAGGCCGAAACUGACACUGAGGGACGAAAGCUAGGGUAGCGAAAGGGAUUAGAUACCCCUGUAGUCUUAGCUGUAAACGAUGGAUACUAGGCGUAGCUUGUAUCGACCCGAGCUGUGCCGAAGCUAACGCGAUAAGUAUCCCGCCUGGGGAGUACGCACGCAAGUGUGAAACUCAAAGGAAUUGACGGGGGCCCGCACAAGCGGUGGAGUAUGUGGUUUAAUUCGAUGCAACGCGAAGAACCUUACCAGGGCUUGACAUGUCGCGAAUCUGGCGGAAACGUUAGAGUGCCUUAGGGAACGCGAACACAGGUGGUGCAUGGCUGUCGUCAGCUCGUGUCGUGAGAUGUUGGGUUAAGUCCCGCAACGAGCGCAACCCUCGUCCUUAGUUGCCAAUAUUAAGUUAGGCACUCUAGGGAGACUGCCGGGGACAACUCGGAGGAAGGUGGGGAUGACGUCAAGUCAGCAUGCCCCUUACGUCCUGGGCGACACACGUACUACAAUGGUUGGGACAAAGGGCAGCAAGCUCGCGAGAGUAAGCGAAUCUCAUCAAACCCAGCCACAGUUCAGAUUGCAGGCUGCAACUCGCCUGCAUGAAGUAGGAAUCGCUAGUAAUCGCAGGUCAGCAUACUGCGGUGAAUUCGUUCCCGGGCCUUGUACACACCGCCCGUCACACCAUGGAAGCUGGCUACGCCCGAAGUCGUUACCCUAACCCGGUUUUGGGAGGGGGAUGCCGAAGGUAGAGCUAGUGACUGGGGUGAAGUCGUAACAAGGUAGCCGUACCGGAAGGUGUGGCUGGAUCACCUCCUUU